UAAUACGGAGGGGGCGAGCGUUGUUCGGAAUCACUGGGCGUAAAGCGUGCGUAGGCGGUUAUACAAGUCAGGAGUGAAAUCCCAGGGCUCAACCUUGGAAUUGCUUUUGAGACUGUAUGACUAGAGACCUAGAGAGGUUGGGGGAAUUCCCAGUGUAGCAGUGAAAUGCGCAGAUAUUGGGAGGAACACCAGUGGCGUAGGCGCCCAACUGGCUAGGUACUGACGCUGAGGCACGAAAGCGUGGGGAGCAAACAGG
rnacentral:rRNA from 1 species